UGCGUAGGCGGGCCGGUCAGUCGGGUGUGAAAGCUCACGGCUUAACCGUGAAACUGCACCCGAAACUGCCGGUCUUGAGUACGGGAGAGGAAAGUGGAAUUCCAGGUGUAGCGGUGAAAUGCGUAGAUAUCUGGAGGAACACCGGUGGCGAAGGCGGCUUUCUGGACCGAUACUGACGCUGAGGCACGAAGGCCGGGGAAGCAAACAGGAUUAGAUACCCUGGUAGUCCCGGCGGUAAACGAUGGGCACUAGGUGUCAGGGGUAUCGACCCCCUUGGUGCCGCAGUUAACACAUUAAGUGCCCCGCCUGGGGAGUACGGCCGCAAGGUUGAA
rnacentral:rRNA from 1 species